rnacentral:rRNA from 1 species
CCUACGGGGGGCAGCAGUGGGGAAUAUUGGACAAUGGGCGAAAGCCUGAUCCAGCCAUGCCGCGUGUGUGAAGAAGGCCUUCGGGUUGUAAAGCACUUUCAGUGGGGAAGAAAGCCUUGGGGCUAAUACCCUCGAGGAAGGACAUCACCCACAGAAGAAGCACCGGCUAACUCCGUGCCAGCAGCCGCGGUAAUACGGAGGGUGCGAGCGUUAAUCGGAAUUACUGGGCGUAAAGCGCGCGUAGGCGGUCUGAUAAGCCGGUUGUGAAAGCCCCGGGCUCAACCUGGGAACGGCAUCCGGAACUGUCAGGCUAGAGUGCAGGAGAGGAAGGUAGAAUUCCCGGUGUAGCGGUGAAAUGCGUAGAGAUCGGGAGGAAUACCAGUGGCGAAGGCGGCCUUCUGGACUGACACUGACGCUGAGGUGCGAAAGCGAGGGUAGCAAACAGGAUUAGAUACCCCAGUAGUC